rnacentral:sRNA from 1 species
AGGUAUCGCAGAUUCGCCUUAUCACUUUCGAUGUAGAUAGGGCCUACAUGGGGUAACGGYAACGGGGUGUAGGGCAGACACGGAGAGGAGCCUGAGAGACGUUACCACUCCAAGGAUGCAGCAGGCGCGCAAAUACCCAAUCCCGACACGGGAGGUAGGACAAUAAAUAACAAUACGGGGUCUUUCGGUUUCGUAAUUGGAAUGAGUACAAUUUAAAUCUCUUAACGAGGAACAAUUGGAGGGCAAGUCUGGUGCCAGCAGCCGCGGUAAUUCCAGCUCCAAUAGCGUAUAUUAAAGUUGUUGCAGUUAAAAAGCUCGUAGUUGAAUUUCGGG